rnacentral:snoRNA from 1 species
UAACCAUGAUGAGGACAUCUUCUAAGUAACUCCUUGAAUCUCUUUCACACCUCAUCGAAUGGUUCAAAAUCAGCUUGUUUAAAUUCCCUAUUCUCACUUCAAAAUUG